rnacentral:rRNA from 1 species
AUGAACGCUGGCGGCGUGCCUCAUACAUGCAAGUCGAACGCUUCACUUCGGUGCAGAGUGGCGAACGGGUGAGUAAUACAUAAGUAACCUGGCAUCUACAGGGGGAUAACUGAUGGAAACGUCAGCUAAGACCGCAUAGGUGUAGAGAUCGCAUGAACUCUAUAUGAAAAGUGCUACGGGACUGGUAGAUGAUGGACUUAUGGCGCAUUAGCUUGUUGGUAGGGUAACGGCCUACCAAGGCGACGAUGCGUAGCCGACCUGAGAGGGUGACCGGCCACACUGGGACUGAGACACGGCCCAGACUCCUACGGGAGGCAGCAGUAGGGAAUUUUCGGCAAUGGGGGAAACCCUGACCGAGCAACGCCGCGUGAAGGAAGAAGUAAUUCGUUAUGUAAACUUCUGUCAUAGAGGAAGAACGGUGGAUAUAGGGAAUGAUAUCCAAGUGACGGUACUCUAUAAGAAAGCCACGGCUAACUACGUG